AUUGAACGCUGGCGGCAGGCUUAACACAUGCAAGUCGAGCGGGGAAAGGUAGCUUGCUACCUGACCUAGCGGCGGACGGGUGAGUAAUGCUUAGGAAUCUGCCUAUUAGUGGGGGACAACAUUCCGAAAGGAAUGCUAAUACCGCAUACGCCCUACGGGGGAAAGCAGGGGAUCUUCGGACCUUGCGCUAAUGGAUGAGCCUAAGUCAGAUUAGCUAGUUGGUGGGGUAAAGGCCUACCAAGGCGACGAUCUGUAGCGGGUCUGAGAGGAUGAUCAGCCACACUGGGACUGAGACACGGCCCAGACUCCUACGGGAGGCAGCAGUGGGGAAUAUUGGACAAUGGGCGAAAGCCUGAUCCAGCCAUGCCGCGUGUGUGAAGAAGGCCUUUUGGUUGUAAAGCACUUUAAGCGAGGAGGAGGCUACUUGGAUUAAUACUCUAGGAUAGUGGACGUUACUCGCAGAAUAAGCACCGGCUAACUCUGUGCCAGCAGCCGCCGUAA
rnacentral:rRNA from 1 species